CACAAAAGUGAGUGAGUGAGUAGGUUUAGUCUCCAUGAACAGAACAGUCAUCGCAGUCUAAUCUACUAAUCUAAUUGCAUGUGAUUCACAGUAAGAUUUUAUUCCUCGUCCUAAUACGUGUGUAUUUAGUACAUUAAUUUAUUUAUUCACCAUCAUUUUAACUAAUUAUCUAAAUAAAAGAAUCAAAAUUUCAUUCUGUUUUAUCGCAAUUGUUAACAAUGUCCCAAAAACUAGAUCAACAGCUUUCUGAGUUAGACCGACUUAAAAUACUUAAAGGAUGGGCAGAAUCACAUUUAAAGUUUUCUGAUAUAUAUCUUCGUAUGUUACGGAGCUUGUCACAUCCAUAUGGCCCAGAGAAAAACCCUUUUCCUUGGAAGACUCUUAAAGAAGGAUCUUACUAUCUAGGAAACGCUCAUCACUUAGUUCAACAACAUAAAAUUAGCAUGGGUUCACUAGACGAAAACUUGGAACCAGUGGAUAAGUUGUUGACAUCACUAGAAUUUAAUCCAAAACAUAUAUCAUCAGGAUACACAGACGAAGCUUACGGUGGAAGGGCCGAAUGCUUCGUAUCUAAAGGACAAGGCACCAAGUACUACAACUUAUUACACAGUGACUUGGCGGAAGACGUGAGAUUCUUUAUACAAAUGGUUGAACGUGACAUCGACGUUCCGAUUAAAAACUUCUUAAAAUCAGUCAACCAGAGAUUGCAGGCUGCUCCAUACAAGGCUAUCAAAGAUGAUAAUCUCACGGUUGAGAAUUGCAAUCAAAUGGUAUCCGAUUUCAAAGACGACGAUGGAAGGACAGCAUUGCACUGGGCUGCUUACGACGGCAACGUAGAUAUUGUAAACGCCUUGUUAGAAAGUGGCGCCCAAGUUACCCUGAGUAACAAAAGCAACACGCCACUGCAUUUGGCUGCUUCGAAAGGCCACAUAGAAGUUGUUAAACUAUUACUGCAAAAUGUUAGUCCCGGUAAAUUGAAUAGUAUCGUCAAUACUAAGACACUUGGUGGCAAUACGUCGCUUCAUACCGCCGCUAAAAAUGGUUACUUGGAAGUUGUUAAGUCUCUGUUGAGACAUGGCGCCAUUUACGACAUUGACAACAAAGAUGGCAAGGAGCCUAUUGAUCUCGCUGAAGACCAUGAAGUCGUUGGCUUUCUUAAAUUUGUCGAUCAAUUGUUUUUAUUAGUUAGAAAAGGUUUCGGCGAAAUCAUCAACAGACUGGAAGUAGAAAAAGAUGAUCUUCUUGCGGCUGCAAAUGCUCGAAAUCGUCAAGGAAAUUCAUUAGUCCAAGUUGCUAUUCUUAAUGGGCAUAAAAACCUUGCGGUUAAAUUGGUGGAAAGGUUGCAAAAGGCUGGUGAGGAAAUAAUUGUAGUUGACCAUCCUUAAAUACUAUUUGUAAGUGAACUCUUUCCUACACAAGAGAAUUUUACUUUAUUUUUCACAUCAGAAAUUUAUAGACAAAAUACAACGAUAAUAGUAGCAUGAGGACAAUAUAAAAUUAUGAUAAAAACUACUCAUAACUGAAAUUUUUCAAAUACAUCAAACAGAAUUCAUAAUGUGCAUUGUAACUUUCACAAGGCACCAAAUCAAAUUAUAUUUUAUAAAUUUUGACUAGCUGCAUCUUAAUUGAUUAUGCAAAAUUAUAAUAUCGUGUAAAAUAUUUGUAGAAAAUAAAAUAAAAGCAAUAAGUUAAGAAGAAAUUGUAAAUAAAAGAAAGUUGAAAAAAAAUGGAUUAGGUGCAUUCAAUAGGCCAACAUACAUGCAGUCACUAAGUAACAACAAAAUUGUUACCCCACGUAAGGUUAUGGUCGUUACCCAGGUAAAUGCUUAAUGAUGAGGAUGCUGGUCAACAAGUGGCUCACUUGGGCGUAUUACAUGGAAAAAAUGAUUAUGAUGUGUAAUUCAAUGAAAACAUACCAGAUGUAACUGGUUGGUUCGGCCAAACACAUCCAUUAUAAGAUUUUUCUUUUCAAAUUUAUAAAUUCUAUUUUUUUUUUUUUUAAGGUGUACAUAUAUAUUAUUAGGUUUCAGGUAAUCCCAUAUCCAGCCACUAAGUCAACUUCAAUUUUAAAAUCAAUUCAGAUUUAUUUUAAACCAGUCAAAUUCCAAAGUAGGUGACAGAAUGAAUCUCAGGUCCAAAAGACUUCAUACUUUUUGUGUGAAAAAUUUUUUCAGCAAUCGCUGGGAUU